UGAUUCAACUGAAUCAUAGUGGCUCAUAUUUGUCCAUAUAACUGUCUCACUUCGCCACAGUGUUUAGCAUGAAAAUGAGUCAGCAGUAGUAGCAAAGGAAAUGGUCAAUAUAACUCUCCCUGAUUCGCCACAGUGUUUAGCAUGGCAAAGACUUGCGUUUGCAACACCGAGGCGAAUUCAUGAAUUACAAAAUCAGCUGAUUGUUUCUAGGGCGAAGAAAGAAAACUUGAAGAAAUCUUUCUCGUUUAAGGUGUGUCGGAAUGAAAACACGAAAACAUGAAUUUUAAUAAAAUUUUAAGUAAAUUAACGCGUUGGGUGCCUUUAUUGUGUGAUGAAUAGACAGAAAAUUUAAUUUAUUUUGGAAAUUCUGCGGACACCACUUCUAUAGUGAUGUUUCAAUUUAUGUACGGGCGUUGGAUUCAUUCGUAGGCAAAGCGGGGUGCUCCGGGUACCAGAUGGAGAAUAUUCUCAGGUUAUGGCAUGUGUGGGUCAACAGAACGUUGGAGGUAAACUUAUACAACGCGGUAACCAGACCGUCGGCGCACAACGCCACAGUUAAUUUUAUACAAUGAGGGUUUUCAGUCGCACCGUCGGAAAUUCGCUUUGGGCCGGCUGAACGCCUUUCUACGCUAUAUGUGGUCGGGAGGGUCUUAACGAAACUACUGAAACCAGUUUUGAUUGGUCAAAUGAACGUUAUAUGCGUGAGGUUUUCAAAGGUGAUGUGACCUAAGAGUUGAGGGAAGGAAAUGCUCCCCCCCGAAUGAGAAAUCGAUGGGUAUCAGUUUUGUCGCAAGCAUCAAGCGAAGGUUAUAUUGCUGUGCAACUUACAACAUGAUUUGGAAUGUACAGACAAUUUUCCAUAUCUCUCUGUUCAUGUGGUGCAGCGGUGUUAAUGUGGUGGACAACAAUCUCUCUCCAACGCUACGCUGCUGUUUCAGUAAUUUUUUAGUUCUACGCCAUGCACAAAGUCAGUAGCUCUGUGUAAAUACAGAAGCUUUCGAAUGGCUCAUUGAGACACUUUUCCACAUACACAGCUUGUAAACGUAAGGAGGGUCAUCGUAAAAACUGUAAUACAGGUUCGCCUUAAUAUUUAAUUUGAAGUUGCCUUAAAAUUACUUUAGAUAAUUUAUGCCGUCAGUUAUUUGUUUGAGUAUACAUAUUUAUGCAAAUUGGAAUACACAUACAAUAUUUUAAUUUAAAAGUUUUAUAAAUGUACUAACUGAAGACAUGAAUAAAUAAUGAAGGUGGUAUGUCGCAAAAUUACGAUUCGAGAAAAUUAUAUAAGUUUAAAGUUUCGCAUAAAGAUAAAAAAUAGUGUGUUCAACACGUAUGUAGUUAGUUUCUAAAUUUUUCAUAACAACAGCUGAUUUACGGCUAAGAAAUAUUUAUAUGUAUAUAACAUCUUCAUCCAUGCAUAAAACAGCGAAAAUCCCAAAAUGGGACGUAAAACCUUCAAUUACUCAUUUCUUCAACUAUACUCGUAAAAAAAUAUUUUUUUCACCUAAGCACCACCGAGAUUUUUUCUAAAUUUUUAUUUUAUUGUAAACAUUUUCUCGACGGGAAGGCUUGCACUUAGCCAGCUGCCGUACUCCAGCAUUAAGUCAGAAUUAGUCCGGAAGAUAGUACUGAAGAUAUUAUUAAUGUGUAUACAGGAACGAAUUCCGGCUAUUUCUGACUAAAUCGUGAGUAAGGAGAGAGGCUAAUUACUGGGUACAGUGAUGUGCUAUAGAAAUGUCGGCGCUUCAAUAAAAAAAUAGGUACAUAUAUAACACUUUGUUUAUUUUUUAUACAUUUAUUUCAAACAACACGGAACAAAUAUUAGCAAUUUUAUGUUAUGCAACUAAAAAUACAAAAAUAAAUUAAAAAUUUUGAUACAAAAUGUAUGUAUAUUAAUAAAAUACGAUGUUUAUAUGAAGCGAGUUCGCAGGCAACUUUUGGUUGAAAGCACACAGUCGCCUCCAGUUUGGAAAAUUAACUUUUUUGUGAUAAAGUCUAAUAUCUCGGGAACAAGUACAGCUAGCAAAAUAAGUUUAACAGUAUUUUAAAGCUUUAAAGAUGAAGAAUUUAGGAAGAAAUUAUCGUUGGACAAAAAAUUAUCUUUACC